GGGGCUGUAGCUCAGUUGGCUAGAGCACCUGCUUUGCAAGCAGGAUGUCAGGGGUUCGAUUCCCCUCAGCUCCA
rnacentral:tRNA from 1 species